rnacentral:lncRNA from 1 species
AGGAAGUUUUCUCAACUUCAUCUUACAAACCUUCUAUUGAGGUUUUUUUUGGUUUUGUUUUGCUGAGGAAGAUUAGCCCUGAGCUAACAUCUGUGCUACUCUUCCUCUACUUUGUAUGUGGGUUACUGCCACAGCGUGGCUGACAAGUGGUGUAGAUGUGCUCCGGGGAUCUGAACACGCAAACCCAGGCCACAGAAGUGGAGCACACCAAACCCAACUGCUAUGCCAUGGGGUUGGCCUCUUCUAGUAGCCCAAUGUCUUCUCUUUAUUUUACACCUCCACUGCACCUGGCAUGUAACUCUACAGAGAACCUGACAUCACUGGCUGCCUAUGUGCCUGGAGAGAUAUUUGAACAUUGGUGCUGACUUGCCAUAUUCUUUUGGAUUAGCCCUGAGCUAACAUCUGCUGCCAAUCCUCCUCUUUUUGCUGAGGUUUGCCAAGUGGUGCCAUGUCCACACCUGGGAUCCGAACUGGCAGCCCCUGGGCCGCCGAAGAGGAACGUGCGCACUUAACCACUGCGCCACCGGGCCAGCCCCCUAAGCGUUUACUUCUUACGCUAACUUUUAAUUAUUUUUCUUUUCCCUCAUUGCCAAGAAUCCACUAUCCUCCAUGGAGACAGACACCAUCAAGGACAAGCACCUGGACCAUCUCCUCCCCACAAAGGGAUAUGGGCUGGUGGGAAAGCUGCUGACCAGCAAGGUCACGGGCUCCCUCCUCUCUGCAAGUAGUCUCAAGGCCAAAGACAAGCUGGUGGGAAAGCUCUGACCAGAAAGGCCAUAUGCUCCCGCCUCCCCUACCUAAAACCCCAAAUAAAAACCCUUCCUUUUAGCUUUUCGGGGAGUUUGGGAUUUCAGCGUUAGCUGCCCUCUCUCCUUGCUCAGCGCUGUGCAAAAAAAUAAAAUUCCUACUUUCUUCCAC